rnacentral:lncRNA from 1 species
AUUCUUCUCUCAUUCCUUGCAGACCUGGAUUGUAACAUCCACGUUCUGUAACAUCAAGGUUCAGAUUACUGGCUUUGAGGCUAUGAUUCAUCUUUGCAUUUUCUUCUCCAGUGAGGAAGACCCUUUCUUGUGGAUGAUUGGUGAAUAAGAGAUCAGUUUCUCUAUUAUAGUCAUUAACAUGAACGAUCAGCCUCGGUUAAGACUUGAGCAUGCUAGUGACGUACAACUUGUUAGAUAAUCUUUGUUCAAGUUGCAUCGUUAUGUUAGAAUCUGACGUUAUUGGGUUGGGACUUGACAGGAGAUUUUAUUCAGGUGUUGAGGUACCGUAAGAUUUUCUCUGUUUUGGUGGGACAUUUAUUAGAGUUUUAGUGAAAAAGACCGUUUUUAAGGGGCACAAAUUCUUGGUAGAUUUAACCCCAUAGGCCAUAACUAUAGUCUUUUCUAGUUGGGAGUGGCCUCUUUGAUUGAUAAAUCUCGUGUUGCUUCUCGAGAAGAUUGGGAGAAUCGAUAGAGGUGGAAGCAACAAAGUGAGGAAGCAGAACUGGGCGACUGGCCUAGAUAGACGAUUUGAAGAGAGAAGAAUAGAAGAGGCAGUAAGAUCAAGGGUGAUGAGAGGGUAUCCGAUCUUGAUUCUUUAGCUUCUUUUCUAUUUUUUAAAUUUAAAAUUUUAGGUAUCUUGGUUUUUUUUUUUUUUUUUUUUUAAAUUAAGGUAUCUUGGUUUUUAAAAUAUAAUUUAGAACCUUCCUUCAAAAAAAUAUAAUUUAGAACCUUGAUUCUUCAGCCAGUAUACUAAUUUAUUAUUAAAAAUAUUGUGGUAUUAAAUUAUGAUUCUAAAUUAUUUUUAAAAUUUUGUGAUAUUCAAUUGAUAUUAUCAAAAAUAUGAAAGAAUGUUUUGAAAUAGUUGAUCAUGAGAGAUUUGUCUCUGUGUUUUAUAAUUUUAGAAUAUUUCCAAAAUCAAUGAGAUGUUAAAGAGGAUAAAUGCUAGAACUCUACAUCAACUAUACCGAAGAUUUCAGAAUGGAGAGAAAUGCAAAAA